CCCCUCUCAGGGUUGCACCUGGAGAAUUUCCAGUACUCUACCAGUCCCGAAUGUGUGAGGGAGAGUCGAGCAGAGGCAUACCCAUUCCAUUUCUAGCUUGGGCAGUGGCUAGCGAGUGGAAGGCAAUCUGCUACAAGC